rnacentral:lncRNA from 1 species
GAUGGUUUGCAUUUCUCCGCCUGACUGCAUUUCAUUCCCAAAAGCUUGCUUCUACCAUAUGAUUCCCUAUCAUUAUUUCUUGUAGAGUUUAAGGGGGCUAACUUUAAUUGGUCCUAGGCAAAAUAUUCUUUAGCUAGGUCAUAAGAUCAAUUCUCACCUUUGAUUUCUUGGUCAAUUUUAGGUGGCCCAUGACUAUUAGCCUUUCAAUUAUUUGUGGAGCUGAUUGUUUCUAUCGAUGAAUGAACUGACAAUUCGUCAAAAAAGAUGAAUAAAUUGACAAUAAUUUUACUUCUGUUUGCUUU